rnacentral:lncRNA from 1 species
AUAUGUGUGUUGUAGCGGUGAGAGUGCUUCCGCCUAUUCCUGGAGCAGCGAUCAUGCCCAGUGUUCCCGCAGUGCCAGCUGCAGUGCCGGCUACUCCAGAUGCUAAUACUGUAAUGGCCCAGCAGCAGCAGGCUAUCAUCAACCAGCAAGCUGUCAUUAUGGCCCAGCAGAUGACCAUGCAGGCCAUGGCUAUGGUGACCAGCCCACCCAUGUCUCCACUUACCAGCCCACCCACCAGCCCACCCCCAACUCCUUACAACACCCUUCCCCCUAGCCCUUACCCUGCAAUCCCACCAAGCCCUUAUGCCAACAUCCCUCCCAGCCCGUAUGCCCAUGUCACCCCCUCAUCCUCCUACAGUGGUUCACUGGUCAGCCCCUACCCCAGCGCAACCCCAAACCCAGUGCCUUCAUCCCCCACCAGCCCUGAAACUCAGAGUCCAACCAGUCAAAUCGGCCCACUGAAGACCCCUCAGCUACGGAAAACCACUCCAGCACAGGUUCAGUUCACUUUUAGUGCAUUUUAUUAGAAACACCUACCUACACUUCUGCUUACGCUCACU